UUUUCCGGGGAAUGUCGAAGACGUACUAUGUAGUUCAGAUGUAGAAAGUUCUACUUUUCUUUUAAAUGUUAAAGAAAGUUUCAUAAAAACAAAUUGUAUAGCGAAUGUUCAGUACAAUAGGAAGCGUUAUUUUGUUCAAGCAAAUGGAGCCGAGGCAUAAUAUUUAAAGGAAUGUUAUUCAAAGAAAGCAAAUUCAGACAGCGGUUGCCUGGAUCAACACCCAGUACUGGGAUGCCUGGAACCUGUGUGACGAGGUGAUCGACUGGGGAGACGGUGUGGAGGAGUGCUCACGAGCGACACCCCCACUGUCCAGGUUGGGGGGGAUAAGGAGGGAUUGGGAAGGGCUACUUGGGAAAAUGUGGAGGUAUCAGAAAGGGGCCUCCAAUGGUGAGAUGGAGGGGGCGGAGGCUGGUAUGAAUGUAAUGCAUAUGGUAAAUGGAGGUGAGGAGAAUGGAUGUGAGGUAGGAGUGAAUGUGGAGGAGGUUAAGGGAGAAGGAGAGAAAAGUAGAGGGAAUGCUUUGGGAUCUAUUGUGUCACAAGGAGGCAGAUCAUGGCUGGAAACCAUUCAGGAAGAAGGAUGUGAGGAAGAAGAAGAAACUGAGGUGGCGUUUCAGGAGGCACAAGACGCUGAGGUUGCUCAGUUGGACAGAUGGUGUCCAUGUGGCUGGUGUAAGGUGGGGUAGGAGGCUUCUGAACCAUGUGUUAGGCCUAGUGCACUUAUGGAUUGUGCUUGUUUGUUGUAAUGAAAUAAGCUUAUAAACUAAACAUAAUAUAUUUUAAAGGUACGUGUUUAUAUCAGUAUCUACAUGUAAAGGGAGCAGACACAGGAAAAAGGUAUUGAAGACCCUUGAUAUGAUAUUGCUGUUUUUGAUUUAGAUUCCAAAGUUAACCCUUUAUUUAAUUUAUCCCUUUUCCCCAAGUAGAAUGAUGCAUUUACUUGUAAUCUGUAUUAUUUUGCUUUGGAGUCAGAAGUUCCAAAAUCACCAGGUAAGUUAAUCGAUUGUAUGUGUUUUAACUACUAGACAGAUGUAAAUGAUAAGCCUUAAGAUUUAUUUUAAAUUAAUUUAUUGUUUUUUUGUAAAUUAAAAACAGGAACCCUCGUGGACCAAGACUUGAGGGCAUUUGUACCAUCCAGCUGUACAACUUUAACUGGUUCUGCAGUCUUUUUCUCCCCACAGCCUCUGCUUGUUCCCUUCUUCUCUUUCUGUCUUCCCUCCAGGAGAGCUCCUCAGGCAUCUCCAGCCUGUAAUUCCUGGGAAAUGCCACCUGCCACCCAUCCUUGGAAGCGUCGCCCAGUCUCAGGAUCUCAUACGUCACCAUUCAUCACA